rnacentral:rRNA from 1 species
GAUGAACGCUGGCGGCGUGCCUAAUACAUGCAAGUCGAGCGAACGGACGAGAAGCUUGCUUUUCUGAUGUUAGCGGCGGACGGGUGAGUAACACGUGGAUAACCUACCUAUAAGACUGGGAUAACUUCGGGAAACCGGAGCUAAUACCGGAUAAUAUUUUGAACCGCAUGGUUCAAAAGUGAAAGACGGUCUUGCUGUCACUUAUAGAUGGAUCCGCGCUGCAUUAGCUAGUUGGUAAGGUAACGGCUUACCAAGGCAACGAUGCAUAGCCGACCUGAGAGGGUGAUCGGCCACACUGGAACUGAGACACGGUCCAGACUCCUACGGGAGGCAGCAGUAGGGAAUCUUCCGCAAUGGGCGAAAGCCUGACGGAGCAACGCCGCGUGAGUGAUGAAGGUCUUCGGAUCGUAAAACUCUGUUAUUAGGGAAGAACAUAUGUGUAAGUAACUGUGAACAUCUUGACGGUACCUAAUCAGAAAGCCACGGCUAACUACGU